rnacentral:rRNA from 1 species
GAUUAACGCUGGCGGCGUGCAUAACACAUGCAAGUCGAACGAUGAAACUUUAAUGAACCCUUCGGGGAGAAUUAAAGCGGAUUAGUGGCGAACGGGUGAGUAACUCGUGAGUAACCUGCCUUACACAAGGGGAUAGCCUUUGGAAACGAAGAAUAAUACCCUAUAACACCAUAAAAGCACAUGCAAUUAUGGUCAAAGUGAUAGCGGUGUAAGAUGGACUUGCGUCUGAUUAGCUAGUUGGUGAGAUAAAAGCCCACCAAGGCAACGAUCAGUAGCCGGCUUGAGAGAGUGUACGGCAACAUUGGGACUGAGACACGGCCCAGACUCCUACGGGAGGCAGCAGUGGGGAAUUUUGCACAAUGGGGGAAACCCUGAUGCAGCGACGCCGCGUGAUUUAGAAGGCCUUCGGGUUGUAAAAAUCUUUUGUAUAGGAAGAAAAUGACAGUACUAUACGAAUAAGGUCCGGCUAAUUACGUG